ACUGAGUGUGGUGGUGCACACCUGUGGUCCCAGUUCCUUGGGAGGCUGAGAUGGGAGGAUCACUUGAGCCCAGGAGGUUGAGGCUGCAGUGAGCCAUGAGUACACCACUGCACUCCAGCCUGGGCGACAAAGUGAGACUCUGUCUCACAAAUAAAUACAUAAAUAAAUACAAGGGAGGCUGAGGCAGGAGUUCAAAGCUGCAGUGAGGUAUGAUCAGGCCACUUUACUCCACCUUGGGCAAUAGAGUGAGCCCCUGUCUCU
rnacentral:sRNA from 1 species